GGGGACCGGGAGAGACACCAUAGAGACACAAGGUGGGGGCGAGGAAGGCAGAGAAAGCCGCUAGGAUCUCUCCCACAGAACUGCGAUAGGAGUUAAUUACUGGGAAUGAUUGAUGUGACAUCAUUGCCAGCGCAGAGACCGCUGCCAGAAAGCUUGGCAUGGCCCCCUCGCCUGACAGCCAAAAAACACAGGUGUCUUAAAGAAAAAGUGCGGCAGAGAGAGCUGAGUGAGCAGGAAACCAUUUGCCCGGAAGCCCAGCCCAGCCAUUCAGAGCUGACUGCCGCUUACACGUCCUCUGCGUUGCCAGUGUCUCAAGAGUCCCCGGCUGUCCUUGAACUCCCGCGGCACCAAGAGAGAUCAUGAACUCCUGAUCCUAUUUAUCCACACACACACUCCACCCCCACCCACCCGCACACCCCGGUGCUAGGAUUGCUGGCUUGAGCCACCAUAUCUAUCUCCUCCAAUGUUGGGCGUGGAACCCGAGGGCUUCUUGUGCGCUCCGCAGGCACUCGGCUAGCCAAGCUGCCUCCCAGCUGCACACCGUUGUUUUAGGGACAUCUCCAGGGACACUUCCUUCCAUUGUGGAUGAAAUCCAGAAGGCCAGCGUUCCAAUUCUGUCUACUUCACAGCCACCUUGCUUUUCCAUUCCCGUGCAGGCUUCCUAGUGAUGCUAUUCAACUUGAUCCUCUUACUCGUUUGGUAAAUAGUAAGGGACCCCUCCUAGUGUCCCCCUAAGCUGUGAUUAACCUCCAGAGGGGACACACGGGUAUAAACUAUUCUGCAGUU